AGAACGAACGCUGGCGGCAUGCCUAACACAUGCAAGUCGAACGAGACCUUCGGGUCUAGUGGCGCACGGGUGCGUAACGCGUGGGAAUCUGCCCUUAGGUACGGAAUAACAGUGAGAAAUUACUGCUAAUACCGUAUGAUGUCUUCGGACCAAAGAUUUAUCGCCUAGGGAUGAGCCCGCGUUGGAUUAGCUAGUUGGUGGGGUAAAGGCCUACCAAGGCGACGAUCCAUAGCUGGUCUGAGAGGAUGAUCAGCCACACUGGGACUGAGACACGGCCCAGACUCCUACGGGAGGCAGCAGUGGGGAAUAUUGGACAAUGGGCGAAAGCCUGAUCCAGCAAUGCCGCGUGAGUGAAGAGGCCUUAGGUUGUAAGCUCUUUACCCGGAAGAUAAUGACUGUACCGGGAGAAUAAGCCCGGCUAACUCCGUGCCAGCAGCCGC
rnacentral:rRNA from 1 species